rnacentral:rRNA from 1 species
UACGUAGGGUGCAAGCGUUAUUCGGAAUUACUGGGCGUAAAGCGCGCGCAGGCGGUGAUGUAAGUCAGGUGUGAAAUCCCCGGGCUUAACCUGGGAACUGCAUUUGUGACUGCAUCGCUGGAGUGCGGCAGAGGGGAAUGGAAUUCCGCGUGUAGCAGUGAAAUGCGUAGAUAUGCGGAGGAACACCGAUGGCGAAGGCAAUCCCCUGGGCCGGCACUGACGCUCAUGCACGAAAGCGUGGGGAGCGAACAGG